rnacentral:lncRNA from 1 species
GGACGAGACACUGAUCCAUCAUGUAAUUUAUUCAGUGAUGUCAGCUGCUGGGCUGCUGGCAGAUGAUCAGGACAAACGAUUUACCUGCCAGAUCAUGAAGCAGAUCUUUAAUGAGGUGCCCGGUGAUGCCAUACAUGCCCGCCACCACCACCACCACCCCGAUUAGGAUGUAGAUGACGUAUUUGGGGACGGUGAUGGUGUCUCUGGCCGGGGGAACGUAGUCAGUAUAGUAGAGCUCCUCUUUUUCUAUGACUUCCUGAAGCAGACGCCUGGCGGUGUACGUCGUCCGUGAGCUGUUCCAGAACGCGUGCCACAGAACCGAGUGAGGGGGGGUCGGGUUUGGUGCGUUCAUCUCGAGCGAACAUGUGCGGCAAGCGUCUGCUGAGCUGUCUGAGGCAGGAUGGUCCAGUUGAAAGAAUAAAUGAAUGAAUGACAGAGACAGGCUGAAGAAGAGCUGGAGAAAAGCUGGAGAAAAGCUGGAGAAGAGGACGUCACACAGAGCUUCACAUGGGGGUGGUGCUGGUAGCUUCUUGCAGAAGACCUGGGACAGCAGGAAGUUCCACAGGAUCACCGUUAAGGAGGUGUUGGCUGAAAUGAUGCUGACCAUGAGAGGAUGCAUCUCUGCGUGUCCGCUGCCGUGUGCUACUGACCGACUGACUGACUGAGCGACUGACUGGCUCUCAGCGCAGUGUGAGGUGUUUAUGAAUGUGAGUGAUGAGCACAGGCCUGUCUUAUCCAUCUCAGACAACCUCAAUCACUUGAUCUUCCUCACUCAUCCGUCCUUCCUGACCUUCCUCAGCUCGGCUAAUCCGCUGCAUCAGUG